CAAAUUACAAAACGUAUUCCCCAGUUUAGGAAUACUUUGUGGAUGUGUAAAUAAUUUUUUCUACUUAAAGAACAUUUUGUACAAUUCCUGAACAUUUCCUUAAUUCAUGGACAUUUUCUAAUUCAAUAUAUGUUUUUCAAAUUCACUAAAACAUUUUAAAUAUGUGAAUUUUUUUAAAGUAAUGAAGAAUUUUCAAUUAAUAAACGUUUUUCGAACUCUCAAAAAAAUUCACAUUCAAGAACAUUUUUUGCAGAUUCGUAAACUUUUUUAAAUUUGUUUUCAAUUCACGAAUUUUUUUAAAUUUGUUAACAUUUUUUAAAACUUGUGAAAUUUGGAGUACAAUUGUUAUUAUUGUGAAAAUAUUUUCGUAUUCAUCAAAAUUUUCAAAUUAAAAUAAAAAAGGAGAAAAAAAUCUAAAGUGUGAAACAAAAACACACAAAGUGAGUAUGCUUGGCAGGCCCUUGUAGGAACGGUUCAAGCAUAAUUGCAGGCGAUGUGUUGUGGUAUUGCUCGCUAGGAGCGAUACAUAGUAGUUCCCGGCCUGCUUGGCUCACCCCCGGACGAAGGCCCAAGGUUACAGUACGCAGUAAGAAGCUGGCCCACGUGUUCAAGGCCUAAGAGAUCUUGGUUUGUAAUACGAUGUGCAUUGCUAAUUUCUCUAAAAAAAGUGCUCUUUUGUGCGCAUGCCAUGGGAAAAAUAACCUGGUGCACAAUUAAUUGCUGAUCCUCACCCUGUCCUCCUUUUUUGCACAUAGCACAUGAUUUUUGCGAGCGCAAAUAUUGUAUAAAAAUGUGAUUUAGAAAGACGCAGAUCUUUUUUAAUAAACGAGUAUUUUCUUUGAAGAGCCAACCAACAUGCCAUUCUCUCAAGUCUCUCCGUACUUCACACCAUCAUUCACUAAAUAAAAGAAGCCAUCACACCUUUGAUACGUUGGGUGAGCUAGUACUGAAAAAUAUAUGGUGGCCUUCAGAACACUGUCCCUUGGUUGGUGAGUGACUGACUGCAUCUCUUCGUCUUGCUCCUGCGUUCAAGAGAGCUCCAAGCUCUCUAGUACCACGUCGUCUCGUCAAUUUGUGCAUCGUGAAAGGUUAUAUAUGGAUGACAUUGUUGAUGCAUUGGUUCUCAAGCUUCACUCAAAGAUAUGUUAUCAUAGGGAUGCCAGUGUCGACUACCUGGAAAUAAAGACCACGGUUGAUAAACUCGUAGAAGCGAACAAAAAACUCAAGGAUGAGAAAGUGGACUUCCAGGAUGUCAUUAAUAUGGUCACAGAAGAAAAGGAGAAUUUGCAGCAUGACUGUCAAGUAAUCAAGGAGCGGGUGGCAAAAAAGGAGGAGCAACUUGAAACUGUAAAAAGGGAACUUGAAGAAGCAAAACAUGAACAUGUGGCAGCAAAGAAGGAGCUUGAGGAAGAAAAACUUGGCCAUGUGGCAACAAAGAAGGAGCUUGCGGCGGCACAACAACAACUUGCUCAAAGGAACGAAGAGCUGGAGAUUUUAAGGAAGAAGCUUCAAGAGAGUGAACAUGUACCUUCCAAAAGGGUAACAAGAUCUGCACAUAAACGGGAAAUGCUACUCAAAGGAUCGCUGAGCAAUGAUGUGGAUGGACAUCGCCCAAAGAAACAUAGGUCCUAUUAGCAUGCAAGCCAUACACUCUAAUACAGGUCGAGGUGGAACAGUGUGUCCUAGCUGUUGCAAGUGAGGAAGGAAGCCAUCAUCGUAGCAGGCCAUGACUAACACUAGCAACUAGCAAGCAUGCAAGAAAGUUACUAUGUUAGCUACCUAUGACGCUGGUGUUGAAUAGUGUUAUAAUCGCCAUUUCAUGUAUAUUUUAGAAUUUAUUUCAGAACCUUGGUGUGUAAAACAUUUGGCACUUUGAUUCGCGCUUCUACUAUAGUAACUGAUGUAUAAAUAUUAUAUGACUUAAUUUUAUGAAACCUUCAUUUAACGGUCCUUAAUCGAUUA